GCUGCGGCGCUGAUGUGCAGCUUCUUCAUGAAAAAGGAACUCAGGAGAAGAGGGCAAUUUAUAUAGGUUGUGAGCAGGGACGUUGUAGAGAUCCUGAUAUGGGUGAUACUUGUAGUAUUUCUGAUCGUUUGAAUCAUCCAUUACUGAACUGAUUUUUAAUAGAGGAAGAUUGGCAGGCUCGAAUGGUAGGGUUCUUUGGGAGACGAAGCUGGAUUUUUGGGGGAUUUGGUUUCUAUGAUGCGUCAAAACUGGAAAAGUCUGCAAACAACGAGAAGAGCCGAGAGGGAGACUUCGGGGAAGAAGUCAUA
rnacentral:misc_RNA from 1 species